GGUCUGGAGCCCGGACACUCUCUUAUCACAGCGGCCUUCCCAGGCCUGCACAAUGCUGAGCUUUCAAGAUGGUGAUCAGCUGAGGUCAUCUUGAUGAGACAGAUCAUCAGCUUACUUCUUGCCCCACAGGUCCCACUCCUUGCUGCAGCUCCUGACUACACACCGAGCCCAGCGUGUUUGAUUCUGCGGGUGGCAGGUGCCCCGUGUGGCUGGUUACAGACUCUGCUCCCGAAUGUCUUGCUGUCUGCUACCCACUGCACUGAAGAAGGGAGGAAAAGUAUGCCCUCGGGAGCUGACCUGGUGAUGGAUGUUGGCAAGGCUCUCAGUCUGGACUUUGGAAGAGAAGUUCUCUUUGUCAGAAACCUUCAACAAAGUGGUCUUGAAGUGAUCAGGGAAGGCUGCCUGAAGGAUGCGGAGCUGGAGGCUGAAGGGGAGCAGGAUGUGUGCUGGAAGAGAGAGAAAAGAAGAGCAAGCACUGAGUGAUGGGGAGAGGGUCCGGGGAGGUCCUGGCCUGGAAACGAGGCAAGGGGCUCGGAGGGCAGCUGCCGGCUGGAGGAAAGGAAGUAACCGUCUUGCAACCCCUAGAGGGCAUCUUAUCUCAAAAUUGAGGUUGCAUGAGAGAGGAGUCCAGAAAAAAAGGUCAAGUUCUGAUGACACUGGUCCAGCCCUUGGAUCCAGCUAUGCCUGAAGUCUUAACCUGGGACAUUUUGGA